rnacentral:rRNA from 1 species
UACGUAGGUCCCGAGCGUUGUCCGGAUUUAUUGGGCGUAAAGCGAGCGCAGGUGGUUUAUUAAGUCUGGUGUAAAAGGCAGUGGCUCAACCAUUGUAUGCAUUGGAAACUGGUAGACUUGAGUUCAGGAGAGGAGAGUGGAAUUCCAUGUGUAGCGGUGAAAUGCGUAGAUAUAUGGAGGAACACCGGUGGCGAAAGCGGCUCUCUGGCCUGUAACUGACACUGAGGCUCGAAAGCGUGGGGAGCAAACAGG